rnacentral:tRNA from 1 species
GCGGGUGUGGUGGAACGGUAGACACACCGGACUUAAAAUCCGUUGCCCUUGGGGCGUGAGGGUUCAAGUCCCUCCACCCGCACCA